AGUGAACGCUGGCGGUAGGCCUAACACAUGCAAGUCGAACGGCAGCACAGUAAGAGCUUGCUCUUACGGGUGGCGAGUGGCGGACGGGUGAGGAAUACAUCGGAAUCUACUUUUUCGUGGGGGAUAACGUAGGGAAACUUACGCUAAUACCGCAUACGACCUACGGGUGAAAGCAGGGGAUCUUCGGACCUUGCGCGAUUGAAUGAGCCGAUGUCGGAUUAGCUAGUUGGCGGGGUAAAGGCCCACCAAGGCGACGAUCCGUAGCUGGUCUGAGAGGAUGAUCAGCCACACUGGAACUGAGACACGGUCCAGACUCCUACGUGAGGCAGCAGUGGGGAAUAUUGGACAAUGGGCGCAGGCCUGAUCCAGCCAUACCGCGUGGGUGAAGAAGGCCUUCGGGUUGUAAAGCCCUUUUGUUGGGAAAGAAAAGCAGCAGGUUAAUACCCCGCUGUUCUGACGGUACCCAAAGAAUAAGCACCGGCUAACUUCGUG
rnacentral:rRNA from 1 species